AACACACAUAAAAAGGCCCAAAGAAGCCCAAACAAAAAGAAGUUGUUUUGGGCACGAGUUGCUGCACUGCCUAGGGCAGACCCGAUCACACGCUCCGUCCUUGGAGGAGCCGAAGGGCGCCGUUGAUCCACGGAAGCGCUUAUAGCACAUGGAAAGAGUGCGGCAGCCAAGAAAGGCAAAAAGGACGGAGCGGUGGAUUUUUAAAGGAGCACUGCACCGGAGUGUGCUUGUGGUGUACUUUGUAUACGUUGUGUUGCUGCUUUGCAGACGGACCACGCUGGCUGGAUCGUGUAUCUGGGGAAAAGAGGAAGAGGGACAGUCAGUUGACGAAGGAAUAUUGAGGGAUUUCAUCAGAGAAAGAGUGGACACAGAGCCAUCAAGAGUGUAGCUAAUAACAGUUGUUGACAACUAAGCGUGAGUAACAGCUGUGCUAAUUAUCUGUGCAAUACUUGUACGAAGAGUUGUUUGGUGUGUUCCUUUGUGUUUUUGAGGUCCCUGGCCCCACUGGAGAGGAGAGCGCGGGCGAGCCGCGGGUUGACCGGGAGCACGGACGAAGCUUCUGGUAGGAAGCACCAUUCACCAGCAGAAUAGUGGCCCUGUGGGGAAACGGAAGCACAGGUGAGCCAGAGGAGUGAUAAUCAACACACCGGGCCUGUAAAUAACACACACCUCACCCUCAUUGGCGGUCCAGCUAUUUCCCAACCAUCCUCUCGAGGUCGUCGUAGCCAGGUGGCAAGGGCGAUUUAAAAACCACGUGAAGUGUAUAAGAGUGCUGUGGGUGAGUUUCACGGAUUGAUGGUGUUUACGUUUUACUUGCUGUGUGUAUGCUGUGCUUGUAGCGUUCAAACUGCCUAGCCUCCGACGAGUCACGAGACGACGACAUCUGUUGUGGCCUGGGUCCUAAGGGGAGCGAGAAAAUUGAACCCUGUGCCCGGGGUGUGUCAACGAGAGCUUCGUUUGUCCAUAGAGCAGACAGUGGUGAAACCCAGUGAGUAUUAUCAAGGGUGUACCGUGCGGACUGUGGGUUGUAACGGUGUGUGUACUGACCUCUCCAACAGAAGCUCGUGGUGAGCGGAGCCCCGACGAAAGUUCGCCCCAACUCGUGACCCCGGUCGUGGAAGAAGGAGGGGGAGUUUGGGAAGCGUUCGGCUCCGUGUCAUCGGACCCACUAGUCCCUACGACGCCCGGACAGCCGGAGUGGAUGGGCGAAGGAAUACGGUGCACCAACACUGUAGCGAAAAUCCACUGUUGCAACAAUCACCUACCUGUACAAGUGAAGCUCUGUGUGCAUGAAGAUCCCCAGUGCUGUGAGUAACGUAACCUGUGAAAUAAACCUGUUCUGUGUUUAUAGCAAUUACCUACUGGUGCAAGUGAAGCUCUGUGUGCAUGAAGAUCCCCAGUGCUCAAAUACCUACCCGUAUAAGUGAAGCCCUGUGUGGACGAAGGGCCUUCAGCACCGUGGAUAGCGUAACCUGGGGAGUGAACUCGACCUGUGUUAGUACCAUCACUUACCUGUUCUGCCGAAGGUCCCGUGUGAACGAACAGCGUACGACAACGAAGUACUUUACCUCUGUCUGCCUUUUAUUUGAUUCUGCCUCCAGGAGAAGCGGAGCGCGCCACGGAUUGUUGGGCCGGAGCCCCUGAGGAACCCCUGUCCCCAGUCUUUCCCCCAAGUGGCCCUGGAGGCGAAGAAGAGACACGUUAGUUUUAAAUUGCCCUUUUCCCCUUCUCCCUUUCCUUUUUAAAUAUUUAAUAAAGUCUAUUUUAACUGUA